UACAGAGGAUGCAAGCGUUAUCCGGAAUGAUUGGGCGUAAAGCGUCUGUAGGUAGCUUUUUAAGUCCGCCGUCAAAUCCCAGGGCUCAACUCUGGACAGGCGGUGGAAACUACCAAGCUGGAGUACGGUAGGGGCAGAGGGAAUUUCCGGUGGAGCGGUGAAAUGCGUAGAGAUCGGAAAGAACACCAACGGCGAAAGCGAGGCCCUGGACCCUUACUGACGCUGAGACGCGAAAGCCAGGGGAGCGAACGGG
rnacentral:rRNA from 1 species